rnacentral:rRNA from 1 species
AUUGAACGCUGGCGGCAGGCCUAACACAUGCAAGUCGAGCGGAUGACGGGAGCUUGCUCCUUGAUUCAGCGGCGGACGGGUGAGUAAUGCCUAGGAAUCUGCCUGGUAGUGGGGGACAACGUUUCGAAAGGAACGCUAAUACCGCAUACGUCCUACGGGAGAAAGCAGGGGACCUUCGGGCCUUGCGCUAUCAGAUGAGCCUAGGUCGAAUUAGCGAGUGGGUGAGGUAAUGGCUCACCUAGGCGACGAUCCGUAACUGGUCUGAGAGGAUGAUCAGUCACACUGGAACUGAGACACGGUCCAGACUCCUACGGGAGGCAGCAGUGGGGAAUAUUGGACAAUGGGCGAAAGCCUGAUCCAGCCAUGCCGCGUGUGUGAAGAAGGUCUUCGGAUUGUAAAGCACUUUAAGUUGGGAGGAAGGGCAGUAAGUUAAUACCUUGCUGUUUUGACGUUACCGACAGAAUAAGCACCGGCUAACUCUGUGCCAGCAGCCGCCGCCG